UUUGCGGACGGAGGAGGUUUUAUAUGUCUCAUGUGUUUAACUAUUUAGCCGGCUUUGAAACCUACGAGUGAAUCAACAGUCUUCAAUAAUAACUUUUUCUGCUCUUGUUCGGGAUUAUAAAGGAAUCGUUCAAACUGGCGGGGCAAAGGGACAAUCGGGAUCUGCUGAUUCCACUUUUCACGGAUGACAGCGGAAUUGAUAGUGAUGAUGCUGAACGAGCGCGUGCGCAACUUAACCUUCGUGGUUUACGUGGUUUAAUACAAUUGAUUGAAAGCAGUAGCAGUGAAGAAGAACCUGAGUUGAUGGAACCAUGGAUCCGAACGACAAAUAGGAGAUUUGAUGAGCAACUGAGAAAUAUGGAAGAGGGACGUUUCGAACGUGAGGUUCUUAUACCGUUGAAGCCGUGGAGGUCGUACAGCGAUGACGCGUCUCUCCCGAGCACACCAGAUAGAUCCUCGCCUCCUCUCUACGAAUUGGAACUGACGGCUUCUGAUGAAGACGACGACUCCGCCGUACUGGAGCUAGUGAUACCCGUCCAGACGAGGUAUAGAAUUGGAACUCCUCAAAACGGUAUCGGAGCCAGCAUCUUCUGCAGUCUCCAUUGCUGUUUUCGCAAUUGUUUCACGUGGUUAAAUUUUAUGUAACUUUUUUUAUCUCAACUACUUUUCGGAUAUUAGACCUAAAUGUGAAGCAUUAACUUUAAUGAUCCUUUAUCAAUUAAAGAUGUCAAGACAUAAAUUUCUCGUUGUUGUGAUCGGUUGUAUAGAUGUUAAGUAAGACUUUUGUUUAAUAAAAAAUAUGUAUGAGCUCUCCAUAAUAUACUAAUCAUUAACAGGAUGCGAGUGCCAAAAUUCUAUGACCUAUAACGAUAUUUUUUUUUAUCUUCGUUCAUGCGACGUAAUGGAAGAUUAAGAUAAAAAAAUCUUUGUUAUAAUUUUUAUUAUAUUUAUACAUAAAUAUAAUCUUAUUAAUAUGAGUAAUAUUAAAUAACAUAUUAUAUAUAUAUGUAUACAUAUUGUAAAACUAUUGUAAAAUUUUUAUCAAAAAUAAAGCAAACGUAAUAUAUCCCACCAAUAUUAGUUUUAUUUAAAUGAAUAAAACUCGCUAAAGUUUUAGAUCUCAUCAAUGAGUAGAUAGUUGAAACUUAAUACCAGGUAACGAUAAUUACAGUAAACGAAUGUAUAUCAUCUUUCAUUGAUUCAAAGAACUUAUCAUAUAUUGUAUCCCUACGCUAUAAAACAUUUGUUAUUUUAAUUCCGAUACUAAUAAAAUAUCUGUGUGUGA